GGAGAAAAGCAGGGGAUCGCAAGACCUUGCGCUCAUUGAGCGGCCGAUGCCUGAUUAGCUAGUUGGUGAGGUAAAGGCUUACCAAGGAGAAAAUCAGUAGCUGGUCUGAGAGGACAACCAACCACACUGGGACUGAGACACGGCCCAGACUCCUACGGGAGGCAGCAGUGGGGAAUUUUGGACAAUGGGGGAAACCCUGAUCCAGCCAUGCCGCGUGAGUGAAGAAGGCCUUCGGGUUGUAAAGCUCUUUCAGCCGGAACGAAACGGUCACGGCUAAUACCUGUGACUACUGACGGUACCGGAAGAAGAAGCACCGGCUAAAUACGUGCCAGCAGCCGCGGGAAUACGUAGGGUGCGAGCGUUAACCGGAAUUACUGGGCGUAAAGCGUGCGCAGGCGGUUUUGUAA
rnacentral:rRNA from 1 species